rnacentral:rRNA from 1 species
UUUCCAGCUUGCUGGAAGAUGACGAGCGGCGGACGGGUGAGUAAUACUUGGGGAUCUGCCUGAUGGCGGGGGACAACCACUGGAAACGGUGGCUAAUACCGCAUAAUGCCUACGGGCCAAAGUGUGGGACCUUCGGGCCACAUGCCAUCAGAUGAACCCAAGCGAGAUUAGCUAGUUGGUGAGGUAAUGGCUCACCAAGGCGACGAUCUCUAGCUGUUCUGAGAGGAUGAUCAGCCACACUGGGACUGAGACACGGCCCAGACUCCUACGGGAGGCAGCAGUGGGGAAUAUUGGACAAUGGGCGCAAGCCUGAUCCAGCCAUGCCGCGUGUGUGAAGAAGGCCUUCGGGUUGUAAAGCACUUUCAGUGGUGAGGAAGGCGUUGUAGUUAAUAGCUGCAACGAUUGACGUUAGCCACAGAAGAAGCACCGGCUAACUCCGUGCCAGCAGCCGCGGUAAUACGGAGGGUGCGAGCGUUAAUCGGAAUUACUGGGCGUAAAGCGCACGUAGGCGGCUUGUUAAGCAAGAUGUGAAAGCCCAGGGCUCAACCUUGGAAUUGCAUUUUGAACUGGCAAGCUAGAGUUUUGAAGAGGGUGGUAGAAUUUCCAGUGUAGCGGUGAAAUGCGUAGAUAUUGGAAGGAAUACCAGUGGCGAAGGCGGCCACCUGGUCAAAAACUGACGCUGAGGAGCGAAAGCGUGGGGAGCAAA